rnacentral:pre_miRNA from 1 species
GAUUUCAAUUGAAAAGGUCAUCAAUAACAAAGUGGUAUAACUUAUCAAGAUAUAUAACUUUUACUUUGGUCAUUUCUUUAUCCGAUAAAGUGAUUUGUAACAUUGUUCAUAAAAUAUACAAAUCUCUUAUAUAAUUUGAUAAACUAUAAGAUAGAUAUGUAAAUUUUAUGAAAUUGUUACUAUCACUUUGUCAGAUGAAGAAAUGACCAAUAUAUAAGUUAUAAAUCUUGAUGAGUUAUACAACUUUGUUGUUGAUGAUGUUUUUUAGCUGAAAUC